GACGAACGCUGGCGGCGUGCCUAAUACAUGCAAGUCGAACGCAGUGGGGACGGGUGAGUAACACGUGGGUAACCUCCCAUCAGAGGGGAUAACACUUGGAAACAGGUGCUAAACCGAUACUGAUGGAUGGACCCGCGGUGCAUUAGCUAGUUGGUGAGGUAACGGCUCACCAAGGCCACGAGGCAGAGCCGACCUGAGAGCGGGUUCGUCCACACUGGGACUUAGCCACCGCCCAGCCGCCGACGUGAGGAAGCACUAGGGAAGCGUCGGCAAUGGACGAAAGUCUGACCGAGCAACGCCGCGUGAGUUAAGAAGGUUUUCGGAUCGUAAAACUAUGUUGUUAGAGAAGCUGUAUCUAACCAGAAAGCCACGGCUAACUACGUGCCAGCAGCCGCGGUAAUAC
rnacentral:rRNA from 1 species